CGGGGCUGGCUCAGCCAGGGAUGCAAUUUGCUGGGAGAUCAGUUGGAGGUAUCAGAGUGAACGCUGCCAGGGCCUUCUGUGGGGGAGGUCACCGACGAUGGGGUAGUAGCGUCUUGCCAACCUCCAUUAGCACUGAUGCCCUGCGGACUAUACAUCUGACUUGCUGCGAGUCCGUCACUGUAUCCUCCUGUCUGGCUGAUAACAUGGCGAAGGGUAUCCACCAGCUGAAUUGGGAGUUGAGGGUGAGUUAGCCUGGCUUCCAUGGGCUGACACAUUGGUAGCCGUGACAGCCGUUUUGGCAGCAUAAAUAUUGGCUUCCUCUUGAAAUUUACCUAUGUUCUUCUUGUACCGGAUUCUCUUAUUUCCAAACCAGUUUGAUACCUGUGAGACUGUGAUGCCACAUUUCUUGGCUAGCUCUUCUUUGGCUUCUUCACUGGGGUAAGGGUUGCUGAGGUGGGAAUAGAAAUACUCAUUCAGGAUUUCCGUAGCCUGCUUGUUGAAGUUUCUUCUCUUCCGCCGUGCGUCCAGAAAUCGGGAGCGCAAGAUCAUGACGGCUUCACACGUGCUUUGCUUCAACUGCAUCUGGAUGGAGCUGAACUUGCGGUGGAUGAUGCUCACCAUCCGCUCUAUCUCCUUUGGUGAGAUGGGCCGGGUCCGGCUCUGCUCACGCAGCAGGUUCAUCACGUGGGUGGUGAAUUCGUUGCACGCCUGCUCGUACUUCUCCAGCUCUGUGUGGUAGAUCUGCCGGAUCUGGGACAGCUUGGCUCUGUAGUCGGAGUGCUCCACCGAGUUGUCGGAUCCGGCUCCUCCCGAUGCGGCGGCGGCAGCGGCAGCAGCAGCAGAGCCCCCUCCUUUCUCAGGGCCAGCGACGCCCUCAGCCAGCAGCAUGUUGUCUAACCGCAUCAGCUGAGGGUCCGUGGGCUCCUCUUCCUGCGCUCCCCGGAUGCUCAGCACUGUUUUCUCUUUGAUUUCACACAAGACAUUAAAAAGAGCCGGCUUCAUCCUGUGGCAGUUUAAAGCGUGUUUCCUGGCCUGCGCCUCGUCCAAACUCUGGUCCGUGAUGGUCAUGAUCUGCUGUAAGAUGUCUCCGAUGUCCUGCUUCCUGCCUGCCUCCCCCUCCGCCCCGCCUGGUCCAUCCUGCAUGUGCUGGGACAGGCCCGGGUGGCCCGGCAUCCCCACCCCGCUGUGCGUGUGCAUCAGCCGCGGCUGCUCGUCCAUCUCCGGCCGCCGGCUCCCGCUCCGCCGCCUCCCUGCUGGCUGCCGGCCGCGGCGGCUGGGCUGCCCGCCUGGCUCCGCGCUUUCUUUUCUUGCUCGCUUUCUUCUUCUUCUUUCCUUCUCCCCCCCCUCCUCCUCCCCGCAGCCUCUUCCUCCUCUUCCCUUUUUUUUUUUUUUUUUUUUUUUUUUUAUUAUUUAUCCUUCACGCUGGCUUCCAGCUCGGCGGUGGAGAGGAA
rnacentral:lncRNA from 1 species